AAAUCCAAACUCAACUUGACAUUGCCUCUGAUUCCAGCAUUGUUGAUCAAUGCAUCGAUCUUUCCAAAGAUGUCCCAAGCUUCCCUGACCGCUUUUUGAAUGGUGGCUGCGUCUGAUGAAACGUCUAACUCAAGAGCUGCGGCUUGGAUUCCAGUUGAACUGAAGCUGUUGAUUUCAGAGCAGAGAGAGUUGAGUCGAUCAACACGACGAGCUGCUGCAAUAACCUGGCAACCAGCUUUGGCAAGAUCAAGACAGAUCUCUCUUCCAAUACCAGAGGAAGCUCCUGUCACAAGAACCACUUUGUCUUUAAGUUCACACCAUGGCUCCAA